rnacentral:rRNA from 1 species
AUCAACUUUCGAUGGUAGGAUAGAGGCCUACCAUGGUGGUAACGGGUAACGGGGUGUUAGGGCACGACACCGGAGAGGGAGCCUGAGAAACGGCUACCACAUCCAAGGAUGGCAGCAGGCGCGCAAAUUACCCAAUCCCGACACGGGGAGGUAGUGACAAUAAAUAACAAUACGGGGUUCUUUUGGAUCUUGUAAUUGGAAUGAGUACAAUUUAAAUCUCUUAACGAGGAACAAUUGGAGGGCAAGUCUGGUGCCAGCAGCCGCGGUAAUUCCAGCUCCAAUAGCGUAUAUUAAAGUUGUUGCAGUUAAAAAGCUCGUAGUUGAAUUUCGGGAUCAAUAUGUUGGUCGUGCCUUGGUACGUACUAAUUUAUUGGUUUCUUCCUUCUGACGAACCAUGAUGUCAUUAAUUUGGUGUCUUGGGGAAUCAGGACUGUUACUUUGAAAAAAUUAGAGUGUUUAAAGCAGGCUCACGCUUGAAUACAUUAGCAUGGAAUAAUGAAAUAGGACGUUUGAUUCUAUUUUGUUGGUUUCUAGGAUCGACGUAAUGAUUAAUAGGGAUAGUUGGGGGCAUUAGUAUUCAAUUGUCAGAGGUGAAAUUCUUGGAUUUAUUGAAGACUAACUACUGCGAAAGCAUUUGCCAAGGAUGUUUUCAUUAAUCAAGAACGAAAGUUAGGGGAUCGAAGACGAUCAGAUACCGUCGUAGUCUUAACCAUAAACUAUGCCGACUAGGGAUCGGAUGAUGUUAAUUUUUUAAUGACUCAUUCGGCGCCUUACGGGAAACCAAAGUGUUUGGGUUC